rnacentral:rRNA from 1 species
UGGGGAAUAUUGGGCAAUGGGCGCAAGCCUGACCCAGCAACGCCGCGUGAAGGAAGAAGGCUUUCGGGUUGUAAACUUCUUUUAUCAGGGACGAUAAUGACGGUACCUGAUGAAUAAGCUCCGGCUAACUACGUGCCAGCAGCCGCGGUAAUACGUAGGGAGCAAGCGUUAUCCGGAUUUACUGGGUGUAAAGGGCGUGUAGGCGGGACUGCAAGUCAGAUGUGAAAACUAUGGGCUUAACCCAUAGCCUGCAUUUGAAACUGUAGUUCUUGAGUGGUGGAGAGGCAAAUGGAAUUCCUAGUGUAGCGGUGAAAUGCGUAGAUAUUAGGAAGAACACCAGUGGCGAAGGCGAUUUGCUGGACACUAACUGACGCUGAGGCGCGAAAGCGUGGGGAGCAAACAGGAUUAGAUACCCUGGUAGUCCACGCCGUAAACGAUGGAUACUAGGUGUGGGGGGUCUGACCCCCUCCGUGCCGCAGUUAACACAAUAAGUAUCCCACCUGGGGAGUACGAUCGCAAGGUUGAAACUCAAAGGAAUUGACGGGGGCCCGCACAAGCGGUGGAGUAUGUGGUUUAAUUCGAAGCAACGCGAAGAACCUUACCAGGUCUUGACAUCCCGAUGACCGGUGUAGAGAUACACCUUCUCUUCGGAGCAUCGGUGACAGGUGGUGCAUGGUUGUCGUCAGCUCGUGUCGUGAGAUGUUGGGUUAAGUCCCGCAACGAGCGCAACCCUUGUUGCUAGUUGCUACGCAAGAGCACUCUAGCGAUACUGCCGUUGACAAAACGGAGGAAGGUGGGGACGACGUCAAAUCAUCAUGCCCCUUAUGACCUGGGCCACACACGUACUACAAUGGCGGUUAACAGAGGGAAGCAAUACCGCGAGGUGGAGCAAAUCCCUAAAAGCCGUCCCAGUUCGGAUUGCAGGCUGCAACCCGCCUGCAUGAAGUCGGAAUCGCUAGUAAUCGCGGAUCAGCAUGCCGCGGUGAAUACGUUCCC